AUUGAACGCUGGCGGCAUGCCUUGCACAUGCAAGUCGAACGGUAACAGGUCUUCGGAUGCUGACGAGUGGCGAACGGGUGAGUAAUACAUCGGAACGUGCCUAGUAGUGGGGGAUAGCUACUCGAAAGAGUGGCUAAUACCGCAUGAGAUCUACGGAUGAAAGCAGGGGAUCGCAAGACCUUGUGCUACUAGAGCGGCCGAUGGCAGAUUAGGUAGUUGGUGGGAUAAAAGCUUACCAAGCCGACGAUCUGUAGCUGGUCUGAGAGGACGAUGAGCAACACUGGGACUAAGACACGGCCCAGACUCCUACGGGAGGAAGCAGUGGGGAAUUUUGAACAAUGGGCGCAAGCCUGAUCCAGCAAUGCCGCGUGCAGGAUGAAGGCCUUCGGGUUGUAAACUGCUUUCGUACGGAACGAAAAGCCCUGGGUUAAUACCCUGGGGUCAUGACGGUACCGUAAGAAUAAGCACCGGCUAACUACGUGCCAGCAGCCGCCGUAACAC
rnacentral:rRNA from 1 species